UACGUAGGGAGCAAGCGUUGUCCGGAAUCAUUGGGCGUAAAGCGCGCGUAGGUGGCUUCGUAAGUCCGUUGUGAAAGUCAAAGGCUCAACCUUUGAAAGCCGAUGGAUACUGCGGAGCUAGAGUACGGAAGAGGCGAGUGGAAUUCCUGGUGUAGCGGUGGAAUGCGCAGAUAUCAGGAGGAACACCAAUUGCGAAGGCAGCUCGCUGGGACGUUACUGACGCUGAGACGCGAAAGCGUGGGGAGCAAACAGG
rnacentral:rRNA from 1 species